AAACUUACUUGGCGCCGGGACCAGGGUGAUCACGAAUGCCCUGGCCCCAGGUGGAGGCUCGCCAUUGCACUCCGGCGUGUUGAAGCCUGCGACGACCCCUAAUUGGGCUCGCUCGGACGCGUAGUUUUUGUCAGUGGGGAGGUCUUCGGAUCAUCCCUU
rfam:Schistosoma mansoni strain Puerto Rico chromosome 3, complete genome